ensembl:lncRNA
AUGCAUCCUGGCUGUUUGCACACAUGACUUCUCUUCCGUUCCGCCAUUCUCUCUUUCUGAGAGAGCGAGCAGCAGCGCCGUGCCGCUGCGUUUACGUAUUAGUCACUUACCCAGUGAAAAAGUAGUCCCUACCAGCGGCGUGUCAUUUAGACAAGACCUGAAUAGUUUAGUUACUUUCCACCAAAUUCCUGUUAAUGAUAUACAUUACCACAAACUAAUGAAGUAUCAAAAGUAUCGAUAUUUUCAUUUAAAAAUUGAUUUUAGAGCAUACAGAUCUGGUAUCGGAAGUAUCGAUGUUUCAGUAUCAAUCCGCACAUCACACAUGGGUACUGUGAUCGUGGAUGCUAAUACAUCGGAUUUAAUGCAGAUUUAUGGCACGUUUAUUUUUGGUUUGAGGCUUAAUGUAAUGUGUGCGAGCAUCGGGGGGCCGAACAAAGGCACUUUGAUGGAUUCAUACACGACUAAUAAGACAAAGAUAGCAAAACAAGCUAGCAGCACCGGCUAACUGGAAAGUUAAUAGUGACUCAAUAUGGACUUAACAUUGUAAUAUUUCAAAUGCCGGUCAACCCCGUCUGUUUUGUUGUAUUCAUCAACCAUCGUCUUUAACAAAUAGUUAUGUGUUGUCCCUCUAUAUACUUCAGACACCAUUGAUACUGUAUCUCCAGUGAAAGUUAUCAAUAAUGGAGACAGCAGCUCUGGUAGCUCCAUUCACAGCUCUGGAGUUCCUUCAGGAUGCUUUCCUGCUGACAGGUAAGAGGCAUCAGGUGUGAGCGCAGUGACGUUACCUUCCCUCAGCUUGCGCACCGCCGCUUUGUGGCCGGCUCCCCCUGCGUGGCUGGUCAGGGCAGCCUCGCCCAUCGUCUGAAGUUUGAUGGAUUUAGAACAGGCCUUACAUCGGGCGAAGUGAAUGUCCUGCACAGUAAAAUCGCCAGUGUUAAUACAACACUUAAAGAGUCAAUUUUAACACUACCUCAGUGACAUAUGGUCCCUAUCUACAGAGUGUUAAAUGUACACUGAACACAGAGUUAAAUUUCCAGAGUCAAUUUUACUCUGGUAAGAGUUAAAAUUGUACACUAGGUGCAGUGUAGUGUAAUAAUAUUAACUCUAAGAAGUGUCAAUCAAGUUUUACACUAUGUAAGAAGUAACACCCAUAGUGUUAUUCACAUGUAACACUAAAGAGUUAUAAAAGAAAUAACCUUUCCAGUGUUAAACCUACUUUACACUAUGUUGAUUAUGAAAUCACUCCAAAGAGUGUUGAUUUUUAACCAACUCCUACCAGUGUUGCAUAUCUAUGCAGGGGGAAAAACACACAGACAAUUGUAUCCAUACUGUAAUACAUAUUUAUUCCAAGUAAACAUGAAAUAUUGGCAUCAAAAGUAAACCUAAAACAUGUAAAGCUCACAUCUUAUCACAGUGGCAAAGAUCUUGGUUGGUGCUGGAUGACAGGAAUGUUUUGAUCAACAUGAUGGUAUCUGCAAAGACAGCAAACUGAAAUCAACAUUAUGAUCUAAAACACCAUACAAGCUGACAACCUGAAAAUACCCUAUUUCAGCUUUAAAAAUCACAAACACAACUACAUUUUCGGUCAAGUACAUCAACUUAUUACUUACCACCAGAGCACCACAGUACAUUAAAGAACAAUCUGAAAGAAAAAAGGAAAAUAUACAUAUUAAGUAACUACGUAACUACGUAGACCCCUCCGCCGUAGCCUGACGUGCAGCUCCGAAAGAAUCUAACUGCGAGUCGAGUUGACGUGGAUCGCAAGUGCUGUGAUUGGUCCGCUCAGAACGUAAUUUGCGGCAGUUGCUUUGAAAGUAUCGAAAGUGCACUUGCUCGUCCAG